rnacentral:rRNA from 1 species
GACAGAGGUGCCAAGCGUUAGGCGGAAUCACUGGGCUUAAAGCGUGUGUAGGCGGAUCGUUAAGUGCUUUGUGAAAUCCCACAGCUCAACUGUGGAACUGCUUGGCAUACUGGCGAUCUUGAGCCAUCUAGGGGUUGCUGGAACAAAGCGGUGGAGCGGUGAAAUGCGUAGAUAUCGUUUGGAACGCCAAUGGUGAAAACAGGCAACUGGGGAUGUGCUGACGCUGAGACACGAAAGCCAGGGGAGCAAACGGGG